UGUGCCUAAUACAUGCAAGCUCGUACGCACUGGCCCAACUGAUUGAUGGUGCUUGCACCUGAUUGACGAUGGAUUACCAGUGAGUGGCGGACGGGUGAGUAACACGUAGGUAACCUGCCCCGGAGCGGGGGAUAACAUUUGGAGACAGAUGCUAAUACCGCAUAACAACAAAAGCCACAUGGCUUUUGUUUGAAAGAUGGCUUUGGCUAUCACUCUGGGAUGGACCUGCGGUGCAUUAGCUAGUUGGUAAGGUAACGGCUUACCAAGGCGAUGAUGCAUAGCCGAGUUGAGAGACUGAUCGGCCACAAUGGAACUGAGACACGGUCCAUACUCCUACGGGAGGCAGCAGUAGGGAAUCUUCCACAAUGGGCGCAAGCCUGAUGGAGCAACACCGCGUGAGUGAAGAAGGGUUUCGGCUCGUAAAAGCUCUGUU
rnacentral:rRNA from 1 species